rnacentral:tRNA from 1 species
GGUUUCGUGGUGUAGUGGUUAUCACGUCUGCUUUACACGCAGAAGGUCCCCGGUUCGAGCCCGGGUGGAACCU